AGCAGCCGCGGUAAUUCCAGCUCCAAUAGCGUAUAUUAAAGUUGUUGCAGUUAAAAAGCUCGUAGUUGAAUUUCGAGAUCAGUACGCUGGUCGUGCCUUCGGUAUGCACUGGUGUCACUGGUUUCUCCCUUCUGAAGAACCGUCAUGCCAUUCAGUUGGUGUGGCGGGGAAUCAGGACUGUUACUUUGAAAAAAUUAGAGUGUUUAAAGCAGGCUCGCGCUUGAAUACAUUAGCAUGGAAUAAUGAAAUAGGACGUUUGACCCUAUUUUGUUGGUUUCUAGGAUCGACGUAAUGAUUAAUAGGGAUAGUUGGGGGCAUUAGUAUUCAAUUGUCAGAGGUGAAAUUCUUGGAUUUAUUGAAGACUAACUACUGCGAAAGCAUUUGCCAAGGAUGUUUUCAUUAAUCAAGAACGAAAGUUAGGGGAUCGAAGACGAUCAGAUACCGCCGUAGUCUUAACCAUAAACUAUGCCGACUAGGGAUCGGAUGAUGU
rnacentral:rRNA from 1 species